rnacentral:rRNA from 1 species
GACGAACCGUGCGAACGUUGUUCGGAAUCACUGGGUUUAAAGGGCGCGUAGGCGGGCUGUCAAGUCGGUGGUGAAAUCGUUCCGCUCAACGGGACAAUGGCCUUCGAUACUGGCGGCCUGGAGGGAGGUAGGGGCAUGCGGAACUCCCGGUGGAGCGGUGAAAUGCGUAGAUAUCGGAAGGAACACCGAUGGCGAAAGCAGCGUGCUGGACCUUUUCUGACGCUGAGGCGCGAAAGCCAGGGGAGCAAACGGG